CGACCGGCGCACGGGUGAGUAACGCGUAUCCAACCUGCCUUACACUCUUGGACAGCCUUCUGAAAGGGAGAUUAAUACAAGAUGUUAUCAUGAGUAAGCAUUUUCACAUGAUUAAAGGUUUACCGGUGUAAGAUGGGGAUGCGUCCCAUUAGAUAGUAGGCGGGGUAACGGCCCACCUAGUCUUCGAUGGAUAGGGGUUCUGAGAGGAAGGUCCCCCACAUUGGAACUGAGACACGGCCCAA
rnacentral:rRNA from 1 species